AAGGUGGCAAAGCGUUAUUCCGGAAUCAUUGGGCUUAAAGGGCACGCAGGCGUAACAGUUUGUGUAGGGUGAAUCCCCCCGCCUUAACCGGGGGAUUGGCACAGCCACUCGCUGUUCUCGAGGCAAGUGAGGCGUGCAUGGACUCUUGCUGGAGCGGUGAAAUGCGUAGAUAUCAAGAGGAACGCCAGAGCCGAAGACGGUGCACUGGGCCUGUCCGCACGCUGAGGUGCGAAAGCGUGGGGAGCGAACGGGAUCAGAUACCCCGGUAGUCCACGCCGUCGCCGAUGUCUACUAGUUCUUGGGUGUUCUGACACAUUCACGGCCGGAGCAAAAGUGUUUAGUAGACCGCCUGGGGAGUACGACCGCAAGGUUAAAACUCAAAUGAAUUGACGGGGGCUCACACAAGCGCUGGAGCAUGUGGAUUAAUUCGAAGCAACGCGCAGAACCUUACCUGGGUUUGACAUGCUCGUAUGCCUUCUCUGAAAGGAGUUAGCCUGCCUUCGGGUGAAACUUGCACAGAUGCUGCAUGGCUGUCGUCAGAUCGUGUCGUGAGAUGUCGGGUUAAGUCCUUUAACGAGCGAAACCCUUGCCGUUAGUUGCCAGCGAGUAAUGUCGGGGACUCUAACGGGACUGCCGGUGUUAAACCGGAGGAAGGUGGGGAUGACGUCAAGUCCUCAUGGCCUUUAUGCCCAGGGCUUCACACGUGCUACAAUGGCAAGUACAGAGCGACGCGAUACCGCGAGGUGGAGCAAAUCGCCAAAAAAUUGCCUCAGUUCGGAUUGCAGACUGGCAAUUCGCCUGCAUGAAGUCGGAGUCGCUAGUAAUCGCGUAUCAGCAAUGACGCGGUGAAUGUGUUCCUGAGCCUUGUACACACCGCCCGUCAAGUGAUGGAAGCCGGGAGUACCCGAAGUCGGGUUGCUAACC
rnacentral:rRNA from 1 species